ACCUGCCUGGCCCAGCCAAUAGUGCGUGUGACUCUUGAUCUCAGGAAUGUGAGUUCAAGCCCCACGACGGGUG
rnacentral:tRNA from 1 species